UACGGAGGAUGCAAGCGUUAUCCGGAAUGAUUGGGCGUAAAGCGUCCGCAGGUGGCUAUGUAAGUCUGCUGUUAAAGAGUGAGGCCCAACCUCAUAAGAGCAGUGGAAACUACAUGGCUAGAGUGCGUUCGGGGCAGAGGGAAUUCCUGGUGUAGCGGUGAAAUGCGUAGAGAUCAGGAAGAACACCGGUGGCGAAAGCGCUCUGCUAGGCCGCAACUGACACUGAGGGACGAAAGCUAGGGGAGCGAAUGGG
rnacentral:rRNA from 1 species